rnacentral:lncRNA from 1 species
AAUGUGGUUGGAUUAAGGAGAAGUGUAUAUUUAAAAUGGCAUAAAAUAGUUGUAUGUUUGAGAAAUUUGAAUUAUGAGAUUUUGUUGUUUUGAAUUUUCCACCCUGAUAUUUCACUGGCUGUUGAUAGAAUUUAGAAGGGAAUGCAAAGAGUGUGCAAAGCAUUCAUCAAGGCAAAAGAUGGCUAUUUGAAGAAUCUGAAAUGUAAAAUAUAUUUUGAUUUGUUUAACACUUUUUUGGUUACUACAUGAUUCCAUAUGCGUUAUUUCAUAGUUUUGAUGUCUUCACUAUCACUCUACAAUGUAGAAAAUAGUAAAAAUAAAGAAUAACCCUUGAAGGAGUAGAUGUUCUAAAACUUUUGACCCAUUGUGUAUAUAUAAUUUUAAGCAUAUUUUAACACAAGCUUAACACCUAACGAACACUUUGUACUUUUUUGAAAACACCUUCAACAUUGGCCAGGCCCUGGUGUUACCUUAUAUUUCAGCAAUAAUACUUCAUUUUUCUCAACUUGCCAUUGGCUCAACUUACCACAUGGCCAUUGGCUCAACUUACCAAUAGGCAAACAUUUUGACUAUAUUAGCCCACACAGGUACAAGGAUGCACUUUCAUGCUAAAUUUAAGACCUCAUAUUGAAGGCUAUAAAGACUCUAACUGAUGUGUAGAACAAUCUUAAAAUUCUCUACUUUGGUUUAGAUAAAAGCAUCAUGACUAACACAAUACAUUGAUUUGACUUGGUGAAAACCAAUGUUUUGGACCUAACUUGCUUACCACUUCUUCCAUGUGGUUUCUUCCUUCAUAGACUCCCUAAAUAUUUGGACAAAUUAUAUAUUGUGUGUAUGGUUUCCUAGAAACAAGGGGUGACUCAACUUACCAUUACAAUCAAUUUACCCCACUUUUCCCUACUUUGAUAUGUUUUAUGAUCAUAAAUUAAAAUCAGAUUUUGUACAUUGGACUUAAUAAUAUUAUAUUUUAAAUAUUUCCAAAUACCUUGUUGGUCUUUAUCCAUAUCCUCAGGAAGUACCUCUCCAGCUCUUAGAUGGGCCCUAGAUCCCACUUUUCUAACUGUCUGUUUUUGGAUCCGCACAUUUAUUUUGGUGGUGUAUGUCUUGGCCCCCGCUGAACUGUCCUCAUCGUCAAUAUCUUCUCCAUUUCCAACCUCUUGAUCUUUGACAUCAAGGUCAUCUGUAUCAUGAUUGUCCUUAUCAGCUUCAUAUUCUUCUUGAUCACCUUCACUAACAACUUGAUCUUUAAUGUCAAGGUCACUGUGAUCAUCAUGUUUAUUCUCAUCAAUGUCUUCCUCUGCCUCCUCCUCUUCCUCCUCUCCAUCGUCUUCAUAAUGUUCAUCACCAACUUCAAUAUUGGCCCGAGAUCCCACUUUUCUGACCAUCUGUUUUUGGAUCCAAACAUUUAUUUUGGUAGCGUAUGUCUUGGUCCUCUCUGAACUGUCCUCAUCGUCAAUGUCUUCUCCAUGUUCAACCUCUUGAUCUUUGACAUCAAGGUAAUCUGUAUCAUGAUUGUCCUCAUCAGCUUCAUCUUCUUCAUGAUCAUCAUCAACAACGACUUGAUCUUUAGUGUCAAUGUCACUGUGAUCAUCAUGUUUAUACUCAUCAUCAAUGUCUUCCUCUGCCUCCUCCUCUCCGUCAUAUUCAUGAUGUUCAUCACCAACUUCAAUAUUGGCUCUAGAUUCCACUUUUCUAAGCAUCGUUUUUUGGAUCUGCACAUUUAUUUUGGUGGUGUAUGUCAUGGCCCCCUCUGAACUGUUUUCAUUGUAAAUGCCUUCAUCUUCAACACCUUGAUCUUUGACGUCAACCUCAUGGGUAUCACCCUCCUCCUCCUCAUCUAACUCUAAGUGAUGAUCCUUCUCCUCUUUCACCUCCUCUUCUUUCCCCCCAUCCUUGCUAACAUCCAUGAUUUCUUCAUCAUCCAUUGUUUGUUCAUGGUCAAGCUCUUCAACAUCACAAUCUACAUCAGUGAUGUAAUGGCAACAAAUUAACGUAUUUUCCCUAUCUUUAAUUAUCUUUAAUAGCAAUUUACUUUGAUAUGAUGACUAUCCUAUCAUAAAGAAAAAUCACAUUUUGGACAUCGUAGCUAAUGAUAUGAAAUAUUUCCAAAUACCUUGUUGGUCUUCAUCCAUAUCCUUAGGAAGUACCUCUCCAGCUCUUAGGUGGGCCUUAGAUCCCAUGACUCUAAGCAUCUGUUUUUGGAUCCACACAUUUUUUGGGGUGGUGUAUUUCUUCACCCCCUCUGAACUGUCAUCUGUACUGUCAUUGUCUCCUUGCUCUUCUUCAGCCUCUUUGACAUCAUCAUCCUUCUCCGCCACAACUGGAGUGAUGCUUAUUUCAGGUGUAGGGUCACCGUCCUUUGUAGUGCCUAUCAAUUCUGCAACUGUGUCACCAAGCCACUUUGUCUUUAUUAUUGACUUUACCAUCUCAACAUUUCAUUAGCAUUCGUCAGAGGUGAGUUGGUGCAGAUGCAAACAUGCAAACAUUAAGACAUUGACAGAGUUAUGGAAAUUAAAUGGCAACACAUUCCAACAUUCGUCAUAUUCAUACAAGAUACACCACAUGCUGCACUCUGAUUGACUGAUUUCAUGUUUUAUCUACCCUGCAAUUAUAUGCACUUGACACAUUUUUAUCUAAAGCGUUGGGUUGACUGUCUAUCAUAUGUUGCUUAGAUGAAAACUGUUCCAGACAUAAAAUCUCUAAGCAGUCACCCAUGAAAUAAUCCCUAUUGAAAUACGAUGCCAACCGUUUAUCUUUUUCCUUGGUGGAAUGUAGACUACAUCUAUUUACUUUAACCAGUAGUGAACACUUGAAUUGCAACAUUUAGUCAGUGGUCAGUCAAUCAAACAGAUAACGCAGAAACAAUGCAAGACAACAUGGAAGAAGAGAAUGCAUCUCCUAAAACAAUAGAUUUCCAUUUCAGAGACACCUCAUGCUUUACAAACUUCAGUAAAUCAAAUAAUUGAUAGGGGAACAAUAUGAACACAAAUAAGGAUGAAUGAACACAUGACAACAGAAACACAAACUGUUACAACGAAGGAACUGUCAGUGUGUGUAUUUACAAUUAGAAUGGGGAAAUAAAAUGCAGUCAAUCACCAAUUCCAAAACCACAAUGGCAUUUUAGUUCAGACAUUUAUUGAAUCAUUAAUAAAGGCCUAAUAUGAUGAGCAUGAAAUAUUAACAUUUUCCCAUUAAACAUAAUUAUUGUGUCAUUAGUAGUCUACAUACAUUAACUUAAAUUAUUCAUACCCUGUGACUUAUUCCACAUUUUGUUGUGUUACAACCUGAAUUCAAAAUAAAAAUCUCACCCAUCUACACACAACACCCCAUGACAAAUGUUUUUAGAAAUGUUCGCACAUUUAUCGAAAAUGAAACACAGAAAUAGCUAAUUUACAUAAGUAUUCACACCCCUGAGUCAAUACUUUGCAGAACCACAUUUGGCAGCGAUUACAGCUUUGAGUCGUCUUGGGUAUGUCUGUAUCAGCUUUACACAUCUGGAAUUGGGGAUUUCCUUAAGCUCUGUUAAGUUAGAUGGGGGUGGCGGUGAACAAUAUUCUUCAAGUCUUCCCACUGAUUUUCAAUGGGAUUCAACUCUGUGUUUUGGCUGGGCCACCCAAGAACUUUCAUAUUCUUGGUCUGAAGCCAUUCCAGCAUUGCUUUGGCUGUAUGCUUGGGGUAAUUGUCCUGUUGGAACGUAUACCUUCACACCAGUCUAAGGUUGUUUGCACUCUGAAGUAGGUUCUCAUCAAGAAUUUGCUUUUAUUUGGCUCCAUUCAUUAUGCCCUCUAUAAUUACCAGUUUCUCAGUCUCUGCUGCUGAAAAGCAUCCCCAUAGCAUGAUGCUUCAGGGUAGGGAUGGUGUUAGACAGGUGAUGAGCUGUUCCUGGUUUUCUCCAGACAUAACACUUUGCGUUCAAGCCAAAGAGGUCAAUUUUUGUCUCAGCAGACCACAGAAUCUUUUGCCUUAUGCUCUCUCAAGUAUCUUUUCGCAAAGUCCAGCCGUGCUGUCAUGUGCCUUUUUCUCAGAAGUGGCUUCCGUCUGCCCACUCUCCUAUAAAGCCCAGAUUGGUGAGGUGCUGUAGAGACCGUUGUCCUUCUGGCAGGUUCUCCCAUCUCAGUCUAGGAACUCUCUAGUUGGGUUCUUGGUCAUUGGGUUCUUGGUCACCUUCCUGACCAAGGUCCUUCUUGCCCCGGUUGCUCAGUUUGGUCAGACGGCCAGCUCUAGGCAGAGCCUGGGUAGUUCCAUAUUUUUUCAAUUUCCCAAUGAUGGAGACCACUGUGCUUUUGGAAAUGUUCAAAACUCUAGAAAUGUUUUAAACCCUUCCCCAGAUAUAAUUAUAUCUCAGAGAUCAUCGGACAGUUCCUUGGGCUUGAUGGUAUAGUUUCUGCUCUGACAUGCACUGUCAACUGUGGGAAAUUAUAUAGACAGGUGUGUUUCUUUCUAAGGUUGCAAGAUCGAAUCUCCGAGCUGACAAGGUAAAAAUCUGUCAUUCUGCCCCUGAACAAGGCAUUAACCCACUUCCUAGGCCGUCAUUGAAAAUAAGAAUUUGUUCUUAAAUGACUUGCCUAGUUAAAUAAAGGUUAAAAAAUUUCAAAAAAAAUAAAAUAAUGUCCAAACAAUUGAAUUGGCCACAGGUGUACUCAAAUCAAGUUGUAGUAACAUCUAAAAAAAAUAUCAAAAGAAAAUGGAUGCACCUCAGCUCAAUUUGGAGUGUCAUAGCAAAGGUGUGUGAAUACUAAUGUCAAUGAGUUAUUUCUGUAUUUCAUUUUCAAUACAUUUGCUAUGAAUCGUACUACACCGGCUCUGACACUGGACGGAUGUGGCAGGGCUUGCAAACAUUAGACUACAAAGGGAAGCACAGCUGAGAGCGGCCCAGUGACACGAGCUGACCAGACGAGCUAAACUACGUCUAUGCUUGCUUCAAGGCAAAUAACACUGAAACAUGCAUGAGAGCACCAGCUGUUCCAGAAGACUGUGUGAUCACGCUCUCCGCAGCCGAUGUGAGUAAGACCUUUAAACAGCUCAACAUUCACAAGGCCGCAGGGCCAGACGGAUUAUCAGGACAUGUACUGCGAACAUGUGCUGAGCAACUGGCAAGUGUCUUCACUGACAUUUUCAACCUCUCCCUGUCCGAGUCUGUAAUACCAACAUGUUUUAAGCAGAUCACCAUAGUGCCUGUGCCCAAGAACACUAAGGUAACCUGCCUAAAUGACUACCGACCCGUCGCACUCAUGUCUGUAGCCAUGAAGUGCUUUGAAAGGCUGGUCAUGGGUCACAUCAAUACCAUUAUCCCAGAAACCCUAGACCCACUCCAAUUUGCAUACCGCCCCAAAAGAUCCCCAGAUGAUUCAAUCUCUAUUGCACUCCACACUGCCCUUUCCCACCUGGAUAAAAGGAACACCUACGUGAGAAUGCUAUUCAUUGCCUACAGCUCAGCGUUCAACACCAUAAUGCCCUCAAAGCUCAUCAAUAAGCUAAGGACCCUGGGACUAAACCCCUCCCUCUGCAACUGGAUCCUGGACUUCCUGGCAGGCCGCCCCCAAGUGGUAAGGGUAGGUAACAACACAUCCGCUACACUGAUCCUCAACACAGGGGCCCCUCACAGCUGCAUGCUCAGUCCCUUCCUGUGCUCCCUGUUCACUCAUGACUGCACGGCCAGGCACAACUCCAACACCAUCAUUAAGUUUUCCGAGGACACAACAGUGGUAGGCCUGAUCACUGACAAUGAUGAGACAGCCUAUAGGGAGGAGGUCAGAGACCUCGCCGUGUGGUGCCAGGACAACAACCUCUCCCUCAAUGUGAUCAAGACAAAGGAGAUGAUUGUGGACUACAGGAAAAAGAGGACCGAGCACGUCCCCAUUCUCAUCGACUGGGCUGCAGUGAAGCAGGUUGAGAGCUUCAAGUUCCUUGGUGUCCACAUCACCAACAAACUAACAUGGUCCAAGCACACCAAGACAGUUGUGAAGAGGGCACGACAAAACCUAUUCCCCCUCAGGAGACUGAAAAGAUUUGGCAUGGGUCCGCAGAUCCUCAAAAGGUUCUACAGCUGCACCAUCGAGAACAUCCUGACUGGUUUCAUCACUGCCUGGUAUGGCAACUGCUCGGCCUCUGACCACAAGGCACUACAGAGGGUAGUGUGAAUGGUCCAGUACAUCAAUGGGGCCAAGCGUCAUGCCAUCCAGGACCUCUAUACCAGGCAGUGUCAGAGGAAGGCCCUAGAAAUUGUCAAAGACAUCCAGUCACCCUAGUCAUAGAUUAUUCUCUCUGCUACCGCACGGCAAGCAGUACUGGAGUGCCAAGUCUAGGUCCAUGAGGCUUCUAAACAGCUUCUACCCCCAAGCCAUAAUACUCCUAAACUUCUAAUCAAAUGACUACCCAGACUAUUUGCAUUGCUCCCCCCCCCCCCCCUUUACACUGCUGCUACUCUCUGUUGUUAUUAUCUAUGCAUAGUCACUUUACUAAAUCUACCUGCAUGUACAUACUAUCUCAACUAACUGGUGACCCCGCACAUUGACUCUGUACUGGUAACCCCCUGUAUAUAGUCUCACUAUUGUUAUUUUACUGUUGCUCUUUAAUUACUUGUUACUUUUAUUUCUUAUUCUUAUCCGUAUUUCUUUCAAACUGUAUUGUUGGUUAGGUAAGUAAGCUUUUCACUGUAAGUACCUGUUGUAUUCGGUGCAUGUGACUAAUACGAUUUGAUUAUAUUUUUUUAAAUGAAGAAAAACAUGUUUUCACUUUGUCAUUAUGGGGUAUUGUGUGUAGAUGCAACUGUUCGGGAUCUGACCGUAUGGCGCUACAGAGAGUAGUGCGUAUGGCCCAGUAGAUCACUGGGACCAAGCUUCCUGCCAUCCAGGACCUAUAAACUAGGUUGUGUCAGAGGAAGGCCCCAAAAAAUUGUCAAAGACUCCAGUCACCCUAGUCAUAGAUUAUUCUCUCUGCUACCGCAUGGCAAGCGGUACCAGUGCACCAAGUCUAGGACCAAAAGGAUCAUUAACAGCUUCUACCACCAAGCCAUAAGACUGCU